rnacentral:rRNA from 1 species
AUGGCGACCGGCGCACGGGUGAGUAACGCGUAUCCAACCUGCCCUUUACUAUGGGACAGCCCGUCGAAAGGCGGAUUAAUACCGUAUGUUGUCAUGUUGAUGCAUAUUUUCAUGACCAAAGGCUUCGGCCGGUAAAGGAUGGGGAUGCGUCUGAUAGCUUGCCGGCGGGGUAACGGCCCACCGGGGCGACGAUCAGUAGGGGUUCUGAGAGGAAGGUCCCCCACAUUGGAACUGAGACACGGUCCAAACUCCUACGGAAGGCAGCAG